rnacentral:rRNA from 1 species
AAACGUAGGAGGCUAGCGUUAUCCGGAUUUACUGGGCGUAAAGCGCGUGCAGGCGGUUGGGCAAGUUGGGCGUGAAAUCUCCUGGCUUAACUAGGAGGGGCCGUUCAAGACUGCUUGACUUGAGGGCAGGAGAGGGAAGCGGAAUUCCCGGUGUAGCGGUAAUAUGCGCAGAUAUCGGGAGGAACACCAGUGGCGAAAGCGGCUUCCUGGUCUGUACCUGACGCUCAGACGCGAAAGCUAGGGUAGCGAACGGGAUUAGAUACCCCGGUAGUCCUAGCCGUAAACGAUGGAUACUAGGUGUGGGAGGUAUUGACCCCUUCCGUGCCGAAGCAAACGCGUUAAGUAUCCCGCCUGGGGACUACGACCGCAAGGUUAAA